rnacentral:rRNA from 1 species
UACGGGGGGGGCAAGCGUUGUUCGGAAUUACUGGGCGUAAAGGGCGCGUAGGCGGUUGGAUAAGUCAGCUGUGAAAACCACGGGCUUAACUCGUGGCCUGCAGUUGAGACUGUCUGGCUUGAGUGUGGGAGAGGAGAGUGGAAUUCCUGGUGUGGCGGUGAAAUGCGUAGAUAUCAGGAGGAACACCGGUGGCGAAGGCGGCUCUCUGGACCACAACUGACGCUGAGGCGCGAAAGCUAGGGGAGCAAACAGG